CCAUUUAAUAGUAUUCAGAUCUUAAUAAUAAAAAUUGGGAAAUGAGGGAAGAAGUUGUUUUCUGACAUUUCGGCAAGAUUUUCAAAUUUAAUCUCCAAAAACUAAUUCCUUCAAUCAAAAGCUAGCUUUUAAAGUUAGAAGCACCAAAGUUAUAUGCAUCUGAAUAUACAUGAAGCAGGCAUCAAAAUAGAUGGGUGGUGUAAGAAGUAGAAGAGUGCAGAGAGUCAAGCUUGAGAGCUCAGAUUCGAUCAAACUGGAGCCUAGUCCAGCAGGCCAAAUCGUUAAUCGGGUCGGACCUCAUCUUCCUGGUACCGGACCAACUCGACUCGAAAACCAGAUCCCCAUCGACUUCAUAAACUGAAACUUCUCUUUCGCCGAUAUCAGCAUCAUCGUCGGAGUAGAAGAAGA